CCUACGGGAGGCUGCAGUGGGGAAUAUUGCACAAUGGGGGAAACCCUGAUGCAGCGAGGCCGCGUGAGUGAAGAAGUAUUUCGGUAUGUAAAGCUCUAUCAGCAGGGAAGAAAAUGAUGGUACCUGACCAAGAAGCCGCGGCUAACUACGUGCCAGCAGCCGCGGUAAUACGUAGGGGGCAAGCGUUAUCCGGAUUUACUGGGUGUAAAGGGGGCGUAGACGGUUAUGUAAGUCUGGAGUGAAAGCCCGGGGCCCAACCCCGGGACGGCUUUUGAAACUGUGUGACUGGAGUACAGGAGGGGCAGGCGGAAUUCGUGGUGUAGCGGUGAAAUGCGUAGAUAUCAGGAGGAACACCGACGGCGAAGGCGGCCUGCUGGACUGAAACUGACGUUGAGGCUCGAAAGCGUGGGGAGCGAACAGGAUUAGAUACCCGUGUAGUC
rnacentral:rRNA from 1 species